rnacentral:rRNA from 1 species
GCCGCCCGCUUUCUUCGUGCUUAACACAUGCAAGUCGAACGGAAAGGCCCUGCUUUUGUGGGGUGCUCGAGUGGCGAACGGGUGAGUAACACGUGAGUAACCUGCCCUUGACUUUGGGAUAACUUCAGGAAACUGGGGCUAAUACCGGAUAGGAGCUCCUGCUGCAUGGUGGGGGUUGGAAAGUUUCGGCGGUUGGGGAUGGACUCGCGGCUUAUCAGCUUGUUGGUGGGGUAGUGGCUUACCAAGGCUUUGACGGGUAGCCGGCCUGAGAGGGUGACCGGCCACAUUGGGACUGAGAUACGGCCCAGACUCCUACGGGAGGCAGCAGUGGGGAAUAUUGCACAGUGGGCGGAAGCCUGAUGCAGCAACGCCGCGUGCGGGAUGACGGCCUUCGGGUUGUAAACCGCUUUCGCCUGUGACGAAGCGUGAGUGACGGUAAUGGGUAAAGAAGCACCGGCUAACUACGUG